AGUGAACGCUGGCGGCAGGCCUAACACAUGCAAGUCGAGCGGCAGCGCGGGGGCAACCCUGGCGGCGAGCGGCGGACGGGUGAGGAAUACAUCGGAAUCUACCCAGUCGUGGGGGAUAACGUAGGGGAACUUACGCUAAUACCGCAUACGACCUGAGGGUGAAAGCAGGGGACCGCAAGGCCUUGCGCGAUUGGAUGAGCCGAUGUCCGAUUAGCUAGUUGGUGAGGUAAAAGCUCACCAAGGCGACGAUCGGUAGCUGGUCUGAGAGGAUGAUCAGCCACACUGGAACUGAGACACGGUCCAGACUCCUACGGGAGGCAGCAGUGGGGAAUAUUGGACAAUGGGCGCAAGCCUGAUCCAGCCAUGCCGCGUGUGUGAAGAAGGCCUUCGGGUUGUAAAGCACUUUUGUCCGGAAAGAAAUCCUGUCGGUUAAUACCUGGCGGGGAUGACGGUACCGGAAGAAUAAGCACCGGCUAACUUCGUGCCAGCCGCCGCGGUAAGAC
rnacentral:rRNA from 1 species